CGCAGUAGCAAUACUGAGUGGCAGACGGGUGAGUAUAAUGUGGGAAUCUGCCUUUUGGUUUGGAAUAACACGGGGAAACUUGUGCUAAUACCGGAUAAGCCCUUACGGGGAAAGUUUUAAUGCCGAAAGAUGAGCCCGCACUUGAUUAGCUAGUUGGUAAGGUAAAAGCUUACCAAGGCAACGAUCAAUAGCUGUUCUUAGAGGAAGACCAGCCACAUUGGGACUGAGACACGGCCCAGACUCCUACGGGAGGCAGCAGUGGGGAAUCUUGCACAAUGGGGGAAACCCUGAUGCAGCGAUGCCGCGUGAGUGAAGAAGGCCCUUGGGUUGUAAAACUCUUUCGUCGGGGAAGAAAAUGACUGUACCCGAAUAAGAAGGUCCGGCUAACUUCGUGCCAGCAGCCGCGGUAAUACGAAGGGACCUAGCGUAGUUCGGAAUUACUGGGCUUAAAGAGCUCGUAGGUGGUUAAAAAAGUUGAUGGUGAAAUCCUAAGGCUUAACCUUGGAACUGCCAUCAAAACUUUUUAGCUAGAGUGUGAUAGAGGUAAGUGGAAUUUCUAGUGUAGAGGUGAAAUUCGUAGAUAUUAGAAAGAACAUCAAAUGCGAAGGCAACUUACUGGGUCACUACUGACACUGAGGAGCGAAAGCAUGGGUAGCGAAGAGGAUUAGAU
rnacentral:rRNA from 1 species